GACGGAAGGUGCAAGCGUUGCUCGGAAUCACUGGGCGUAAAGGGUGCGUAGGCGGCCGUGCAAGUCUGGCGUGAAAGCCCCGGGCUCAGCCCGGGAAGUGCGCUCGAAACUGCGCGGCUCGAGUGCCGGAGGGGAGAGUGGAAUUCCUGGUGUAGCGGUGAAAUGCGUAGAUAUCAGGAGGAAUACCGGUGGCGAAGGCGGCUUCCUGGACACCAACUGACGCUGAGACGCGAAAGCGUGGGGAGCAAACAGG
rnacentral:rRNA from 1 species